UACGAAGGGGGCUAGCGUUGUUCGGAAUCACUGGGCGUAAAGCGCACGUAGGCGGAUUUGUAAGUCAGGGGUGAAAUCCCGGGGCUCAACCUCGGAACUGCCUUUGAUACUGCAAGUCUCGAGUUCGGGAGAGGUGAGUGGAAUUCCUAGUGUAGAGGUGAAAUUCGUAGAUAUUAGGAAGAACACCAGUGGCGAAGGCGGCUCACGGGCCCGAUACUGACUAUGAGGUGCGAAAGCGUGGGGAGCAAACAGG
rnacentral:rRNA from 1 species